rnacentral:rRNA from 1 species
GACGAACGCUGGCGGCGUGCUUAACACAUGCAAGUCGAACGAUGAAGCCGCUUCGGUGGUGGAUUAGUGGCGAACGGGUGAGUAACACGUGGGCAAUCUGCCCUUCACUCUGGGACAAGCCCUGGAAACGGGGUCUAAUACCGGAUAACACUCUGUCCCGCAUGGGACGGGGUUAAAAGCUCCGGCGGUGAAGGAUGAGCCCGCGGCCUAUCAGCUUGUUGGUGGGGUAAUGGCCUACCAAGGCGACGACGGGUAGCCGGCCUGAGAGGGCGACCGGCCACACUGGGACUGAGACACGGCCCAGACUCCUACGGGAGGCAGCAGUGGGGAAUAUUGCACAAUGGGCGAAAGCCUGAUGCAGCGACGCCGCGUGAGGGAUGACGGCCUUCGGGUUGUAAACCUCUUUCAGCAGGGAAGAAGCGAAAGUGACGGUACCUGCAGAAGAAGCGCCGGCUAACUACGUGCCAGCAGCCGCGGUAAUACGUAGGGCGCAAGCGUUGUCCGGAAUUAUUGGGCGUAAAGAGCUCGUAGGCGGCUUGUCACGUCGGAUGUGAAAGCCCGGGGCUUAACCCCGGGUCUGCAUUCGAUACGGGCUAGCUAGAGUGUGGUAGGGGAGAUCGGAAUUCCUGGUGUAGCGGUGAAAUGCGCAGAUAUCAGGAGGAACACCGGUGGCGAAGGCGGAUCUCUGGGCCAUUACUGACGCUGAGGAGCGAAAGCGUGGGGAGCGAACAGGAUUAGAUACCCUGGUAGUCCACGCCGUAAACGUUGGGAACUAGGUGUUGGCGACAUUCCACGUCGUCGGUGCCGCAGCUAACGCAUUAAGUUCCCCGCCUAGGGAGUACGGCCGCAAGGCUAAAACUCAAAGGAAUUGACAGGGGGCCCGCACAAGCAGCGGAGCAUGUGGCUUAAUUCGACGCAACGCGAAGAACCUUACCAAGGCUUGACAUAUACCGGGAAAGCAUCAGAGAUGGUGCCCCCCUUGUGGUCGGUAUACAGGUGGUGCAUGACUGUCGUCAGCUCGUGUCGUGAGAUGCUGGGAUAGUCCCGCACGAGCGCAAUCCUGCUCUGUGUGCAGCAUGCCUUCGGGGUGAUGGACUCAAGAAACUGCUGGUCAACCUCGGGAGGGAUAGGUGAGGAUA